AUGGUCCGCACGAUGACCGAAGGCAUCAUGAAUAGGUUUUUGAGCUCCGCGAAGGCCGAGAUGCUUCAAAAGAACGAGACAGAGAUAAGAUGUCCGUGUCGAAGAUGCAAGCUGAAGAGCCUAAUUGCGGACCCGGAUUCCGGGCAGGUGCGGAACCACCUGCUCUUGCGUGGUUUCAUGGAUGGCUAUCGGUGGCAAGGUGAUGAAGAUGACUAUGAAGUCGUCCAUGGGGGCCGGGCAAGAAAUGAGGAAGGGCAGCAAGACAACCACCGCGGCUCGGGCGGGCGAGAAGACGAAGAAUCUCCAGGACAUGAUCACGACGGUGAUGCUGUACAGUCAUCAUGUAGAAGAUGCCGGACAUGA
rnacentral:rRNA from 1 species